AGAUUUCGGCGGGUAUUCUCGAGUGAUUAACACGUUAUGAAACCAGAGUUGUUAUUGCUUGAGAAUACACGUUGCCUCU
rnacentral:pre_miRNA from 1 species